CUUGUUGGUGAGGUAACGGCUCACCAAGGCGACGACGGGUAGCCGGCCUGAGAGGGUGACCGGCCACACUGGGACUGAGACACGGCCCAGACUCCUACGGGAGGCAGCAGUGGGGAAUAUUGCACAAUGGGCGCAAGUCUGAUGCAGCAACGCCGCGUGAGGGACGACGGCCUUCGGGUUGUAAACCUCUUUUAGUAGGGAAGAAGCGAAAGUGACGGUACCUGCAGAAAAAGCACCGGCUAACUACGUGCCAGCAGCCGCGGUAAUACGUAGGGUGCAAGCGUUGUCCGGAAUUAUUGGGCGUAAAGAGCUCGUAGGCGGUCUGUCGCGUCUGCUGUGAAAACCCGAGGCUCAACCUCGGGCCUGCAGUGGGUACGGGCAGACUAGAGUGCGGUAGGGGAGAUUGGAAUUCCUGGUGUAGCGGUGGAAUGCGCAGAUAUCAGGAGGAACACCGAUGGCGAAGGCAGAUCUCUGGGCCGUAACUGACGCUGAGGAGCGAAAGCGUGGGGAGCGAACAGGAUUAGAUACCCUGGUAGUCCACGCCGUAAACGUUGGGCGCUAGAUGUGGGGACCAUUCCACGGUUUCCGUGUCGCAGCUAACGCAUUAAGCGCCCCGCCUGGGGAGUACGGAAUCUCUAGAGGAUCCC
rnacentral:rRNA from 1 species